rnacentral:lncRNA from 1 species
ACAGAUGUAACUGAGGCACUGAAUAAUCAACAUAUCGGAGCCAAUUCCCAGGACGGCAAGAGGGGGAACCGGCAGAGAUGACUGACCCUGGAGGACAAGAGCAUUCUUCUGACAAGUUUUAGCAUGGACUAUCCUCAGGAAAAUGAGAUCCAGGAAGAGUGACGCCCUCCUCGAACUGAAAGAUACUCAGGUUGAUGGAGUCAGGGACGAAGUGGCUUAUCAACAACACAGGAUGUCUGCAGGGAACAGAACUUAUUCAGACAUGGCCCAGAUUGUCUGCCCGUGGGGACUGAGGGACCUCUGAGGGUUACAUCAGGAAGGAAGGAGAGGCUGUUUCUACAGGUGCCACAGAAAAAUCGAUGCUGAGCCUCGGAUUAUUGGAUCCCAUAGAACCGUGGAGACUUGGCAGUGAAAUUCUUCCAAAGCAUUCCAUCUGCGCAGGCAGGCAGAGGUUUUCCUGGUUUGGGAAGUAUAAAUCCCGUGGGAAGUCAACUGGAGGACAUUUUACGCGUCACUCAUCCUAUUAUGAGCCUGCUGCUCCUCCGUCUCUUGACAAGGCCACCAACUAGAAGGGCACAGAAUUGUUCAUAAAACAGCUGAAUGUGAAUGUCUUUGGAUUCCCAUUUAAUGAGCUGUCUGAGAUGCCAACACCACAGAGCACAAUAUCUUUGAGUUGGAAACAUGUCAUUUGCUUGCGUCUCGUCAUCCUUUGGGGUUUUUCUAGACUCCCUGCCUCUUCUGUUUCUCGUCGAUGCUUCCAUUGUAUUCCAGUUGGCAGCUAAAGGACAGGAGCAGCAAUAAGGCUUCCUGGCUACAUUUUCAUGGUGCCACCAACUGCGAGUUAAGCUGACAAACAUUUUGAGAGCUCGGCCCAUUUCAUUCCCAGCAGGAUGGCAGGAGUUAACUAAAACAGAAUAAACUAAAAAUUGUGCCUUCAUUGCACAUUUGCACUGAUUAUCAGCACUGAAAAUGGCUAAGUUCUGCUUAUCAAGAGCGGGUGACUGAUUGUCCCUGCCAGCUGGCUAAUAUCAUAAUUAGCAAAGUUGCUACCACAUCUGCAAAGUUUAAUCGAAAAAUUUACCAGUGGUAUGAUGGCAUUGUCACCGCGAUCCUGAGGGAAUCAGAGUCGACUUCUGCUUCAACUGGAAUGGCAAGGCUGUAGAGCUGAGAUGAGAAACUGUAAACUUGCUCAGCCAAAGGAAAUAAUAUGCUCCAGAGAAUCCUCUAAUUCACCGAAAAUGGACUUGGAUAACAUUUGGGUUCUCAUACUACCACAGUCCUCUUGAGAAGGACAGCCAGGCUUGGGUGGCAGUGGUGAGGAAGGUUCCUUUCUGUCAAGGGAGCUGAUGCCUUAAAGAAGCUAUCUCCAGAUAAAGGGAGAUCUAAGGAAGGAAGCCAACGAAAGACACCAUGUACCAGAAAGCCAAGCAGGAUUUUGACAUUUAUAACCAUAAUCUCUAUAAACAAGAUGAAUUAUGGCUGGGGAUUCAGUUAGUAAAUCAACGAAAAUAAAUCCUGGUAAGGAGGCUAAUAAUGAAGGGGCCAGGGAAGGAGGCCAAUGCUACAGGGUUAUCUCCUAACCUCAGAUGUUGGAUAAGUCCAUGGAAACAGCAGCGCUUCUGGAUGGCUUCAGAAAGGCUGGAGUGAUUGUUUGGACGAGAAAAACCCGCCUAUUCAUUCAAAGGUACAUGAAUGUUGUCGACACUGUCCCAUCUAAAGGUUCAUCCUUAGAAUUCUGCCUUAGACAAAGGAAGUGCUUGGAGCCCCACCACACCUAAAACCAUGCUUUGAAGGAUCUGCCAAGCUCACUUUUAAUCAUGAGAAAGAAAUUACCCACAUGGAGACAGCAGAAAAUGAGAAAGUAGAGAUCGUGCUGCGAAUAAUUCCAGCGAGUGCCAAGGGGCUAGUUGAGGAAUGGCUUCAUGAGAUGUUAGUCUAUCUAGAACAACAGAUUUGGAUCUAAGCUGGACCUUUGAGAAAGAAAAGACUUCGAGGAAAAACACCUUUCCAUAUGUUUUAUUACCUUUCACCUGAAUUGUUUAAUGCACACUAUCCAACUAUAUUCAUCUUUCUUGCUUCAUGUGUAUUUCUUCUUUUGCUUGAACUGCUUUAGAAUUGACUUUUGAGCUACACAGUCAUUCUGGAUUUUUAAAAAGAGAAUUCUAAUAAAAACUUAUAUAUGUUGUUAA